AGAAUCAACGCUGGCGGCGUGCCUAACACAUGCAAGUCGCACGAGAAAGGGGACUUCGGUCCCUGAGUACAGUGGCGCACGGGUGAGUAACACGUGAAUCAUCUACCUUCGAGUGGGGAAUAACUGAGAGAAAUCUUAGCUAAUACCGCAUAAUACCUACGGGUCAAAGCAGCAAUGCGCUUGAAGAGGAGUUCGCGGCAGAUUAGUUAGUUGGCGGGGUAAUGGCCCACCAAGACGAUGAUCUGUA
rnacentral:rRNA from 1 species